rnacentral:rRNA from 1 species
AUUGAACGCUGGCGGCAGGCCUAACACAUGCAAGUCGAGCGGCUGCACAGUGCUUGCUUCUGGAUUCAGCGGCGGACUGGUGAGUAAUGCCUAGGAAUCUCCCUGGUAGUGUUGUCUUACGUCCGGACACGGGCGCUCAUACCGCAUUCGUCCUGAGGGCGUACGUGUGGGAUCUUCGGACCUCACGCUCUCAGAUGAUCCUAGGUCGGAUUAGCUAGUUGGUGGGGUAAAGGCCUACCAAGGCGACGAUCCGUAGCUGGUCUGAGAGGAUGAUCAGUCACACUGGAACUGAGACACGGUCCAGACUCCUACGGGAGGCAGCAGUGGGGAAUAUUGGACAAUGGGCGAAAGCCUGAUCCAGCCAUGCCGCGUGGGUGAAGAAGGUCUUCGGAUUGUAAAGCACUUUAGGUGGGGAGGAAGGGCAGUAAGUUAAUACCUUGCUGUUUUGACGGUACCAACAGAAUAAGCACCGGCUAACUUCGUG